AUUGAACGCUGGCGGUAUGCUUAACACAUGCAAGUCGAACGGAAACGAUGCUAGCUUGCUAGCAGGCGUCGAGUGGCGGACGGGUGAGUAAUGUAUAGGAACAUGCCUAGUAGAGGGGGACAACUUAUGGAAACGUAAGCUAAUACCGCAUAAUCUCUACGGAGGAAAGUGGGGGAUCUUCGGACCUCACGCUAUUAGAUUGGCCUAUAUUAGAUUAGCUUGUUGGUAAGGUAAUGGCUUACCAAGGCGACGGUCUAUAGCUGGUCUGAGAGGAUGAUCAGCCACACUGGGACUGAGACACGGCCCAGACUCCUACGGGAGGCAGCAGUGGGGAAUAUUGGACAAUGGGCGCAAGCCUGAUCCAGCAAUACCGCGUGUGUGAAGAAGGCCUUAGGGUUGUAAAGCACUUUCAGUAGGGAGGAAAAGCUAAUUUUUAAUAGAUGUUAGCCGUGACGUUACCUACAGAAGAAGCACCGGCUAACUCCGUGCCAGCAGCCGCGGUAAUACGGAGGGUGCAAGCGUUAAUCGGAAUCACUGGGCGUAAAGCGCGCGUAGGUGGAUAUUUAAGUCAGAUGUGAAAUCCCUGGGCUCAACCUAGGAACUGCAUUUGAAACUGAAUAUCUAGAGUAUGGUAGAGGUAAGUGGAAUUUCAGGUGUAGCGGUGAAAUGCGUAGAGAUCUGAAGGAACAUCAGUGGCGAAGGCGACUUACUGGGCCAUUACUGACACUGAGGAGCGAAAGCGUGGGUAGCAAACAGGAUUAGAUACCCUGGUAGUCCACGCCCUAAACGAUGUCAACUAGGUGUAUGGGGGUUUAACCCUUGUGUAUCGAAGCUAACGCGAUAAGUUGACCGCCUGGGGAGUACGGUCGCAAGACUAAAACUCAAAUGAAUUGACGG
rnacentral:rRNA from 1 species